CCUACGGGCGGCAGCAGUGGGGAAUAUUGGACAAUGGGCGAAAGCCUGAUCCAGCCAUGCCGCGUGUGUGAAGAAGGCCUUCGGGUUGUAAAGCACUUUCAGUGGGGAAGAAAGCCUUGGGGCUAAUACCCUCGAGGAAGGACAUCACCCACAGAAGAAGCACCGGCUAACUCCGUGCCAGCAGCCGCGGUAAUACGGAGGGUGCGAGCGUUAAUCGGAAUUACUGGGCGUAAAGCGCGCGUAGGCGGUCUGAUAAGCCGGUUGUGAAAGCCCCGGGCUCAACCUGGGAACGGCAUCCGGAACUGUCAGGCUAGAGUGCAGGAGAGGAAGGUAGAAUUCCCGGUGUAGCGGUGAAAUGCGUAGAGAUCGGGAGGAAUACCAGUGGCGAAGGCGGCCUUCUGGAUUGACACUGACGCUGAGGUGCGAAAGCGUGGGUAGCAAACAGGAUUAGAUACCCUGGUAGUC
rnacentral:rRNA from 1 species